rnacentral:tRNA from 1 species
GACGUCUUGGCCGAGCGGUCUAAGGCGCUACGUUCAGGUCGUAGUCUUGAAAAGGGGCGUGGGUUCGAAUCCCACAGACGUCA